UGGGGAAUAUUGCGCAAUGGGCGAAAGCCUGACGCAGCGACGCCGCGUGUGGGAUGAAGGCCUUCGGGUCGUAAACCACUGUCGGGGGGGACGAAACAAAUGACGGUACCCCCAAAGGAAGCACCGGCUAACUCUGUGCCAGCAGCCGCGGUAAUACAGAGGGUGCGAGCGUUGUCCGGAAUUACUGGGCGUAAAGGGCGCGUAGGCGGCUUGAUAAGUAGGAGGUGAAAUUCCAUGGCUCAACCAUGGAUCGGCCUUCUAGACUGUCAGGCUUGAGCACGGUAGAGGCAGAUGGAAUUCCCGGUGUAGCGGUGGAAUGCGUAGAGAUCGGGAAGAACACCAGUGGCGAAGGCGGUCUGCUGGGCCGUUGCUGACGCUGAGGCGCGACAGCGUGGGAGCAAACAGGAUUAGAUACCCUGGUAGUCCACGCCGUAAACGAUGGGCACUAGGCGUCGGGGGGAGCGACCCUCCCGGUGCCGUAGCGUAACGCUCUAAGUG
rnacentral:rRNA from 1 species